CCUACGGGAGGCUGCAGUCGAGAAUCAUUCACAAUGGGGGAAACCCUGAUGGUGCGACGCCGCGUGGGGGAAUGAAGGUCUUCGGAUUGUAAACCCCUGUCAUGUGGGAGCAAAUUAAAAAGAUAGUACCACAAGAGGAAGAGACGGCUAACUCUGUGCCAGCAGCCGCGGUAAUACAGAGGUCUCAAGCGUUGUUCGGAAUCACUGGGCGUAAGGCGUGCGUAGGCUGUUUCGUAAGUCGUGUGUGAAAGGCGCGGGCUCAACCCGCGGACGGCACAUGAUACUGCGAGACUAGAGUAAUGGAGGGGGAACCGGAAUGCUCGGUGUAGCAGUGAAAUGCGUAGAUAUCGAGAGGAACACUCGUGGCGAAGGCGGGUUCCUGGACAUUAACUGACGCUGAGGCACGAAGGCCAGGGGAGCGAAAGGGAUUAGAUACCCCGGUAGUC
rnacentral:rRNA from 1 species